GAUGAACGCUGGCGGCGUGCCUAACACAUGCAAGUCGAGCGAACAGACGAGGAGCUUGCUCCUCUGACGUUAGCGGCGGACGGGCGAGUAACACGUGGAUAACCUACCUAUAAGACUGGGAUAACUUCGGGAAACCGGAGCCAAUACCGGCUAAUAUAUCGAACCGCAGGGUUCAAUAGUGAAAGACGGUUUUGCUGUCACUUAUAGAUGGAUCCGCGCCGCAUUAGCUAGUUGGUAAGGUAACGGCUUACCAAGGCAACGAUGCGUAGCUGACCUGAGAGGGUGAUCGGCCACACUGGAACUGAGACACGGUCCAGACUCCUACGGGAGGCAGCAGUAGGGAAUCUUCCGCAAUGGGCGAAAGCUUGACGGAGCAACGCCGCGUGAGUGAUGAAGGUCUUCGGAUCGUAAAGCUCUGUUAUUAGGGAAGAACAGAUGUGUAAGUAACUAUGCACGUCUUGACGGUACCUAAUCAGAAAGCCCCGGCUAACUACGUG
rnacentral:rRNA from 1 species